rnacentral:misc_RNA from 1 species
CCGAUCUUGCAGUUGGCACUGCUCACUCUCUUUCUGGCAUUCCUGCAUCGAGUAUUGUUCUCUGCACACCCCCUCCCUUCACUCACCGUUGUACUGCUCGUUUCUCCCUCCAUUGUUGUUGUCUGGCUUGCGGCAAACUCGGACGUACUCCGCUUCUCAUUGCUCCAGCAAGACUCGUAGAGUGCUCAGAGCAUGCGCAAUGAUACGCAGAGCGCAGAGGAGUACCUUUGGCCUUAUCACUUUCUCCUCUUUCCACGAUCGUCGUAAAAACAAGAGUGCUGUUGCUGUUGCUGCACUCCAUCAGCACAAGUGCGGGAACGGCGAGCUCACAAGUUGGCUUUGGCUCGCACGGCCCUCCACCUGCAGAGAGGGGCGAUUACAACGGCGAGACGGUGAACAAUGUGCAGGAGCUGCACCCCGUGGUGGGCAGCGGGGACCGUGUGGACGGGGGGGCCGCGGCGGAGGAUACUGUGACAGAAAUCCGUGUAGGAUCCGUCGUAGAGGUGCAGCAAAGGCACGAUAGCUUUUUGCUGAUUUAUGUGCGCCUGUUGAAGUGUGUCGACCAUCCAGAUUGAACGUGGUUUUCGACGUCAUGGAACUGCAUUAUGGCCUCCGUUUUCACAGACAUCACGCUCAUCGUGCUCGCUUUCAUUGAGGCUUCUGGCCUGCAGCCGUGCGAAGUAGGUCUGGAUUCGUGCGUGUCAUCCUUUGGCGUCUCCUGCUGCCUGUUAAUGUACCUCCUUUCCGAGUGCGCAGCCGCGCGCACUCAUUUUCUCUCACACCGUCAGUGCUUUUCUUGGUGUGACGGGGCCUCACGGUACCAACUCGUUGCCGAAGCCGCUAAGCCGACAACCGGCGUACGGCUUUGCGGUUGGCAUUAUGGCAGCUCCCUUGAUACUGACGGGUUCGCUGCAGCCCUCUGCCUCAGCUACUAUGUGCCUAGCCGCGUUUCAUAUCGACAGCUGGAUGAAAGACUAAGGCUUAAUGUGCAUGGCGACGCCAGCCACGGUGGGCCGUUGCUUGAUUGUGCUUCUCGACUUUGCCUUCAACAAUCUCGUGCCUUGGCGUCAUUACUAUCCGGUACGGGGGUGACGAGGUGGCAAGAAAGCCAGGUCGCGCACCGCCGCUGAGGUUGACAGACCAUGUGGAAAGCGCCCUGUCCUUUGUUGGUGUUGUUUACCUGUGCGUGUGUGUCUGCGUGCGCUCCUUUUGCUCCCUUCCGUCACUCUGGCCCCAAUACUCAG